UUGAACGCUGGCGGCAUGCCUUACACAUGCAAGUCGAACGGCAGCACGGGAGCAAUCCUGGUGGCGAGUGGCGAACGGGUGAGUAAUAUAUCGGAACGUGCCCAGUCGUGGGGGAUAACGUAGCGAAAGCUACGCUAAUACCGCAUACGAUCUAUGGAUGAAAGCGGGGGAUCGCAAGACCUCGCGCGAUUGGAGCGGCCGAUAUCAGAUUAGGUAGUUGGUGAGGUAAAGGCUCACCAAGCCGACGAUCUGUAGCUGGUCUGAGAGGACGACCAGCCACACUGGGACUGAGACACGGCCCAGACUCCUACGGGAGGCAGCAGUGGGGAAUUUUGGACAAUGGGCGCAAGCCUGAUCCAGCAAUGCCGCGUACAGGAUGAAGGCCUUCGGGUUGUAAACUGCUUUUGUACGGAACGAAACGGUAAGCUCUAAUACAGUUUGCUAAUGACGGUACCGUAAGAAUAAGCACCGGCUAACUACGUG
rnacentral:rRNA from 1 species